GUGAAGUAAGGGCCGACAAGUUUAGUGUUUGCUAUCACAAAUGUUUUAACAAAUGUGCUUACCCAAAAGCCAAUAAAAUGAACGUGACAUGCGGAAUCAAAUGUACUGCGCAAUGUGUCGUAUCGUUCCAUCCCAAACACGGAGGCAACACCCUUUCACGUCAACAAUCCAAUUCCGAUUCUGAUUCUUAUGAAAUCGAUGAUGGCAAGAUGGAUCCUAGUGUUUAUUGUAAACUUGGUUGUACAGUCCAUUCUUGCGUUGAUUCUCUAGCCGAUGCGUUCAAAGUGGAGAAAUGUUACAAGAAUUGUGUCCGAAGGGUUUGCAAAACCUAGUGAUAAAAUUCACAGGAGACUUAAUUACAAGGCUGAUCAUUUCAUCCUUUAUUAUUAUUCCACCUUCCACAUUCAAACCCACCACGACAUGAUGAUGAGAUGUAAUCGUUAAAUAAACAGUGAUUAAAAAAUUGAUAUGUGUCGGUUUAUAACAAUCGUUAUACGCGGAAUCGUAAAUUAUUAUUAUUGGCUUUUUAAUAUUUCUUUUGUGU